rnacentral:rRNA from 1 species
GAGUUUGAUCCUGGCUCAGAUUGAACGCUGGCGGCGUGCCUAACACAUGCAAGUCGAGCGGCAGCGCGGGAGCAAUCCUGGCGGCGAGCGGCGCACGGGUGAGUAACGCGUGGGAAUCUGCCCUUUGGUCUGGAAUAACCCUGGGAAACUAGGGCUAACACCGGAUAAGCCCGAGAGGGGAAAGUUUACGCCGAAGGAGGAGCCCGCGUCCGAUUAGCUAGUUGGUGAGGUAAGAGCUUACCAAGGCGACGAUCGGUAGCUGGUCUGAGAGGACGAUCAGCCACACUGGGACUGAGACACGGCCCAGACUCCUACGGGAGGCAGCAGUGGGGAAUAUUGGACAAUGGGCGCAAGCCUGAUCCAGCCAUGCCGCGUGAGUGAUGAAGGCCUU